UUGUGGAGGCAUAUCUAGAACUCACAGGGAAUGAGGACAACUGCUACUGUCACAAUUCUGGCUUCUUAGUUCCAUGUCCCUGCCACAAGCAGCCGUGCCCCCCAACACUUGAGAACAGAGCACUAUGGAGAGAGAAUAUCCUCAAAAACGGAGUUGCUAGGAUAGCAGCACCCAAGGAGCUGGCUGACAAAAACCUGCCUGCCUCUAAAGUCACUGCUAAAGGCUCUGACUUCAGGUGAUGUCAGCUUGAGACAUCCACAGGCCCUUCAAUGCCCUUUCAAGGAGAAAAUCUUCCAAGAGGGAUACAACACAUGUGGAGUACAAGAUGGAGUCAGUUCUCAAGUCGCAAAAGAAGAAUUUGGGAAGCCAGAACAUCUUGGAAAAAGAACAAAUACGGAACAACUUUCUGCCACUCUGGAAAGAAAACAACUCACAGCUAUGGAACACUCCAUCUCCCCAAGGAAGAGCCGUGCCAGAUGCAUUCCAGCUAAUGUGUCCAUGUGUUUUCUCAUUCUCCAUGCAUGGAGCAUGAAUGUUCCAUCUACAGAGCCUGCACAGGGAAAAUAUUCUCCUCUCUCAAGUUUGCAAGUGUAAGUGGCGUGUUCAAAUUCAUGUGAGCCACAUUCAGAUACAAAACUACAAAUUCUGUGGAACUUAAAGUGAAAAAUGUAUUAUUAAAAAUAUAUAUAUUAUUGAAAGCC